rnacentral:lncRNA from 1 species
UUUAGGUUUCAAAAUCUCCCCAAACAUGGCUGCUCAGAUAUAUCUCUCAUCUUCAACCCACACAUCUCCACCACGUAAAAAAGUAAAUCAAAAGAGCAGAGCUUGAGAGGGAAGACAGGAUAUAUAUAGCGACAGAGCGUGAAGGAGAGGGGUGGUGACUGUAGGGUUCACCACCGUCACCCUAACUGUCAAUCCAACUCGCGGUCACAGCUACCCCAACCGACCAUCUCAGAGACUCACCACCGUCACUUCUGCCUCAAGAUAACGAGCGAAGAUGUCUAUCAGAGAUGUCAAGGACAUAAGACCAUAUGUUGACAAUCGUCGCGACAAACGUAGAAGCCAACUAUGCUAAAUUAAUGGAGGAACUGGUGUCCCCAUACAUCCUAAGAUUGUUCCAGCUAUAAAAGCUGCGCACGCUUUGGGGUGCGAUGUGAGGAUUCUUAGUGAUGCGAAUACGUUCUACAUAGAAACGGUGUUAAGUCAUCUUGGAAUACGACAAUGUUUCUCGGAGAUUCGUGGACGAUAAAGGAAAGUUAAGGAUUUUGCCUUACCAUGAUUUUCUUAGAUCACAGCAUCGUACAGCAGUCUCUGUCCUCCUUACAUGUGCAAGGUUUUCUCUUAUGACAUUUUCACCUAAGAGUAACUUAUCAUUAAAGGUGUAAAAAUCGCUCACAACAGAAUUAUCAUACUAGCCACACAAGUUUCCAACUACUACGGUUCUAUUCAACUCCAGGCAUCCUAUUCGACAAUUGUUGGUAUCAACCCAGAAAUGGCACAAAUCCCACCUGUGGAACCCAAGGACGAAGACGAUCUGAUAAUCACUGUUCAUGAGUUAACCACGCCUGACGUUGCAGAGAAACAGGUACUCUGGCAAUACAUUGAUUAAUCGAAUAUAAAUUAUGCAUUGUCAUGUUCAUUAGUAAAAGAUGCAGCCCAGUAAUACUUCUUUUGAAACAAUUGGAACAAUUUACUCACAACAGUGAACGUGUGCGCAGAUAUCUGCGCAACUAUUAGCCCUUCAUCUGAUGUAGAGCGGGAACAAUAAAUCAGUUGGUAACCAGUUUUUUAGAAGAAGCUACAACUCAAGAAACAUAACAUGAAGUCAGGAAACUACCACAUGACGUGUUAGUCACUUAACUUGUCGAUACACUUAGCUACUUCAAUACACAUUUUGUAAAAGUUAUGUAUGCUGUAAAACAUACUAACCUUCUUCAUGUAAAUAUUUACUAGCAAAUCAUUUAGACAUAGCCGCAACGCGGCGGGUUCUUC